rnacentral:tRNA from 1 species
GCCCAGGUGGCGGAAUCGGUAGACGCGCUGGUCUCAAACACCAGUGGGCUAACCCCCGUACCGGUUCGACUCCGGUCCUGGGCA